ACAGCUCAAAUUUGAAAUCUGGCUCUUUGGNGUCCGAGUUGUAAUUUGCAGAGGGCGCUUUGGCAUUGGCAGCGGUCCAAGUUCCUUGGAACAGGACGUCACAGAGGGUGAGAAUCCCGUACGUGGUCGCUANCCUUUACCGUGUAAAGCCCCUUCGACGAGUCGAGUUGUUUGGGAAUGCAGCUCUAAAUGGGAGGUAAAUUUCUUCUAAAGCUAAAUACUGGCCAGAGACCGAUAGCGCACAAGUAGAGUGAUCGAAAGAUGAAAAGCACUUUGGAAAGAGAGUUAAAAAGCACGUGAAAUUGUUGAAAGGGAAGCGCUUGCAGCCAGACUUGCCUGUAGUUGCUCAUCCGGGUUUUUACCCGGUGCACUCUUCUAUAGGCAGGCCAGCAUCAGUUUGGGCGGUUGGAUAAAGGUCUCUGUCACGUACCUCCUCUCGGGGAGAACUUAUAGGGGAGACGUAAUGCAACCAGCCUGGACUGAGGUCCGCGCAUCUGCUAGGAUGCUGGCGUAAUGGCUGUAAGCGGC
rnacentral:rRNA from 1 species